CCUGGUAGCUCAGAUGGUAAAGAAUCUGCCUGCAAUGCAGGAGACUCAGGUUCAAUCCCUGGGUCAGGA
rnacentral:tRNA from 1 species